GCUGGGCAUGGUGGCACAUGCCUGUAGUCCCAGCUACUUGGGAGGCUGAGGCAGGAGAAUCACUUGAACCCAGGAGGCAGAGUGCAGUGAGCCAAGAUUGUGCCACUGCACUCCAGCCUGGGCGACAGAGUGAAAUCCUGUCUCAA
rnacentral:SRP_RNA from 1 species